UCCCAAUCUGAACCACUUACCCCCUCGUCUUCAUUUUACCCUUUCUGCUUGGAAGAGUGUGUAUUUAGCCAUCAGUUCAUUUUGUGUGGUCUGAGUUAUAAAAUGCCCCUGCUGGUUUUUUCCAUAUGAAAAGCAUGUUUUUCAUUUGUGGAAACUUAUAUAAUUUUUUCCCCAGUCUCUCUCUCUCUCUCUCUCUCUCUCUCUCUCUCUCUCUUUUGUGCUGCUUUAAAUUAAAAGCAAAUGUAUUUCCCUCCCCUUCAUUCUGGCUCUCCCGCCCCACCCCCACCUUUGCAUGUUCCAAUUACGGAGUUGUGAAAAUAAGUCAUCUUUCAGCUUUUGUUACUUUAGAACAGCUAUCGUGAUGUCAGAGUCAAUACUAAAAGCACUAAGAAUGCUGGCAGAACACCGUGCAGCUGCAGUCCAACAUGAUGCUGGAAAUGGGGUUGAGAGCAUAAAGGCUUUCCAUAUUCCCAGGGCGCACAACUGCUCGCGGCCUUGGCUUUGAUCUCUUCAAAGGCUGCUGCCUCCUCCUAGAUGGGGAGACUUGGCUGCCACUCGCUCACAUUGAAAAAAGGCAGAGGUCUCUAUUCAGGCAGAAAUCAAUCACUGUGCAGAAACAAUUAUGUGUAAUUCAACCAUCAUGAAAACAGGGCGAGAUUACCGGGUUUGUUACCUGAGUGACUGUGCGGGGACGGGGAGCAGAGAACACUGGAGUCCCGCUGACAUGCCACAUCUCGAUGACAAUUAUAGACACAUGAAUGAUGUGGCGGGCGGGGGAGGCCCAGUGACAAAUGCUGGUCACACUGUCCAGCAGAGCAGAAAAUGAGGUUACAAUUGGGAGAUAAUGUUUGCAUAUGUAACCAUAUUUCAGCAAGCUGAACAACUUCAGGGAAUAGACCCUUAAAAACUCCCGUGAAUAUCUGCAUGCUUCUGUCUGUGUACUAGCAUGCGACUUCGCUAUCGGCAGGAUCAAAGAUCAAAAUAAUCCAAAUAAUUUAGGAUUGUGCCAGAUGAGAAGAAAGAAACUUUAACUUUGGGUUGUAUUGGCUCAUUUGGAGUGUACUAUGCCGGCACAAUUUCUAACCUAAUACAUGGGUCAGUCUUUAGACAUCUGAUUCAAGAAUACCAUUGUGUUUUAGAAUCUGCUAAUCUGUCUCACAAAGGCCUUAGUGCUUGCUCAUUGGCAUGAAUCUUCUGGAAAGUGAUUUUUUUUUUGUCAGUUGUACCAUCUUCCCUUGUUUUCAUAAAGCAAACCUUGUGAAAAGCCUCUAAAUUUCCUUUCAUUGUGGACAAAAACAAGGCCGAUUUUCUACAUAGGAAAUAACUUCUUGCCUUCAGUAGAGGUCUAUUUAAUCUCGCAGCCCUGGCACACAAAGCCGUCGAGGUUUUUUUUUUAAUUAUUUUUAUUUUUAACUCAUUCUUGACACCUAACAGAAGCAGGGGAGUCACCUCACACUUGGCUAGCUAGCUGAGGUGCGCAGGGGUAGGGUCGGGGUGGGGGAGGGCAGCACAAAAAUAAGAUGAAAACCUGGAUAGCUGAUUAUAAAACUUGGUAUUGCUGCUGCGCAGUUUGAUACCCAGGCCCUGGGUUUACCUUUUAUGCGGCUCCAGCUUAGACAUCAGAGGCGUGAGAGCCUGCUUUGAGUUACAGAUCUUCAAACAAUAAGUCAAAACAACAACAAAAAAAAUCAAUCCCCCUCCGGUCCCUGGGUGCAGUUAUGGAAAGAUAAAAGAGAAAAGCGAGGCUAUGCUAAAGCAGAUAUAAGAGGAGGCGAGCAGAUAGGCUAGGGAGAGAAACAUGGAGGACAAGUCCGAGUUGAAGUGGGCCUCUUGUGAGCCAGCAUCAGUGGACUGUUAUCUUAUCAAGAAGUUUGAGGGUCAGUUGACAGUUCUCUUCAAACUGGAUCCAGUCUGGUCCCAGGCUGCCUGGAGCAUCGGCUUCUAUAAAGUCACUUUUCCCCAUCUUAAAUACAAUCAACUUGGAAUGGGGAUCACAUUCCACCCAGUGUAUAAAACUCGCCACUGACUGCAGGGGCGAAUUAGAGGUUUUGAUAAUCCCUUGGUAUUUUGAAUAUAAAUCGAGGGUGGUGGGUCUGUGUGUUUUGUGUGCGUGUUUAUUGAAAGCUGAGGGUUAUAUGAAAUGCUAGGCAAAUCUCUACACCGCGUGUGCAUUCUGUGGCCAGGUUUCUAAUAGCCGGAAAGCCCCUUAAGAUGUCUGUACUUGCCCUGUUUCUUGUGGCUAAUAUCAGGCAUAACUG
rnacentral:lncRNA from 1 species